rnacentral:rRNA from 1 species
GGGCUCGCACAAGCGGUGGAGCAUGUGGUUUAAUUCGAAGAUACGCGCAGAACCUUACCAACACUUGACAUGUUCGUCGCGACUCUAAGAGAUUAAAGUUUUCGGUUCGGCCGGACGAAACACAGGUGCUGCAUGGCUGUCGUCAGCUCGUGUCGUGAGAUGUUGGGUUAAGUCCCGCAACGAGCGCAACCCUCACUUUUAGUUGCCAUCAUUAAGUUGGGCACUCUGAAAGAACUGCCAGUGAUAAGCUGGAGGAAGGUGGGGAUGACGUCAAGUCCUCAUGGCCCUUACGUGUUGGGCUACACACGUGCUACAAUGGUAUCUACAACAGGAAGCAAAACAGCGAUGUUAAAGCAAAAUCCUUAAAAGAUACCUCAGUUCGGAUUGCACUCUGCAACUCGAGUGCAUGAAGCUGGAAUUACUAGUAAUCG